rnacentral:rRNA from 1 species
AGUGAACGCUGGCGGUAGGCCUAACACAUGCAAGUCGAACGGCAGCACAGUAAGAGCUUGCUCUUACGGGUGGCGAGUGGCGGACGGGUGAGGAAUACAUCGGAAUCUACUUUUUCGUGGGGGAUAACGUAGGGAAACUUACGCUAAUACCGCAUACGACCUACGGGUGAAAGCAGGGGAUCUUCGGACCUUGCGCGAUUGAAUGAGCCGAUGUCGGAUUAGCUAGUUGGCGGGGUAAAGGCCAACCAAGGCGACGAUCCGUAGCUGGUCUGAGAGGAUGAUCGGCCACACUGGAACUGAGACACGGUCCAGACUCCUACGGGAGGCAGCAGUGGGGAAUAUUGGACAAUGGGCGCAAGCCUGAUCCAGCCAUACCGCGUGGGUGAAGAAGGCCUUCGGGUUGUAAAGCCCUUUUGUUGGGAAAGAAAAGCAGCAGGUUAAUACCCCGCUGUUCUGACGGUACCCAAAGAAUAAGCACCGGCUAACUUCGUG